UGUUGGAGGCGCAUCUGUUCACCUCCUCCACCGAGCGAUGGAUCUUGUGGCACUUGGAUCGCACUGAUUGAAGCUGUAUUUGAUCACUAUUGAGUAUUGACAGAUGUGCCUAACGAUAUCCCUGCCGGUGUUGCCGCGGACGAGGAGACUGAGGCUAAACCGCACUACAGGGGUUUAUGGAGUACAACAUCUGGUAAUUACUUGACUGCCAAUUGCUCGAUAGAAUGCCCCUAACGAUCGGCCAGGGGCUAUCCUCCAUUACGAAAACGGUAAAACAUGAUGCGGAAGUUCCUGGCAGUCAAAACAAUUGAUGGUGUUCAAUACUAAACUGUGAAUUGCUCUGAGCUUCCACGAAUCAAGAUGCCGGAUGUACAAAAGGUAUCGCAUGCUCAACCUUAAUAAAAGAACAUGAAAAUAUAUUCCCUAAAGGUCGUGUUUUUAUUUACAGCCAUAUCAUCGGUUUUAAGUAAAAAGGUUAGCAUGUUUCUUCUACCAUCUCUGAAAAAAGGAAGUGUCUGGCAGAAUUUGGUAUUGCUGCAUAACAUCUUUUAGCUUAAGAACGGUCUGGCGUGGUGUAUCCUUACAAGUUGGAAACUUUGGUCAUAUCUUUCUAUUCAAAUACUUAACUGAAUCUUUGACCUUUGAGGUGUCAGAUUGGACUGGUAUUUUUAGGGCACGCGUUUGACAAAGAUUGUUUUUUGCGCUUCAUCGGUACUAUUAUAUUGGAGUUGGUCGUUUGACACUCAAAACGUUUGAUGGUCGUCAUUGGAAGCAUCCAGACCAUCCAAUUUAAUCUUACAGCCUCCGAUCACUUCUCAAGGUAAAUCGCCCCUCCACCUUUCCUUAUUACCGCUAAUCACGUUAAUAAAUCCGAUUCAAUACAAAUUUCUACUUACCUAAACAAAGUUGAUUUCCAUCGCGCGCUCAUCCAAUUGGUUACACGCAAAUAUAUUCUAGAUGGCGUUCUUGAUAAGGGCAUUUUGCUUGUAGUCAGAUCCGUUUUUAGCUAUACAAGUUCAUGCGCAAUCCUGAUUUUUAUGUUUUGGAUUGUUUUGUUGGUCAGAAUAGGGAAUAUGUUGCAUGAUUUUUUGGGUAUUUCGAAGUGAGUUUUUGGUGCAUGAUUCUAAUCAGAUGGAUUUAUUUAUCCAAGUUCUUCCCCUUCUCCACUCCCGUCUGCUUUUAUUUUUCCAAGCCAAACACGGCAGAUGAUAACAAAUAAAAUGUUGGCUAUUUUCCGUGAAUUUUUUUUUUGCUGAUGAAAUGGACACCCCGAAUAUUGAGUAAGCUUGUGGAUGGAUUUCUAGAGGAUCUUGGUCCAAUUAACUAAUAAGUAACUGCAGCUAUGUGCUAUAACAGGUGUGCGCACUACCGAGCCGAUGCAUGUGAGCCUGUUGGAGUGAUAUUUUUGAUUGCCUGCACUUU